rnacentral:rRNA from 1 species
UACAGAGGGGGCUAGCGUUAUUCGGAAUUAUUGGGCGUAAAGGGCGCGUAGGCGGCCAUGCGUGUCUUCCGUGAAAUCCCUCGGCUUAACUGAGGACGUGCGGAAGAAACUGCAAGGCUUGAGUCCGGGAGAGGGGGGUGGAAUUCCCAGUGUAGCGGUGAAAUGCGUAGAUAUUGGGAGGAACACCGGUGGCGAAGGCGGCCCCCUGGACCGGUACUGACGCUGAGGCGCGAAAGCGUGGGUAGCAAACGGG